rnacentral:rRNA from 1 species
AGCAGCCGCGGUAAUUCCAGCUCCAAUAGCGUAUAUUAAAGUUGUUGCAGUUAAAAAGCUCGUAGUUGAAUUUCGGGAUUUAUCCGUCGGUCGGGCUUUCGGGUCUGUACUGGCGUGAUGGAUUCCUACCUUCUGAAUAACCGGCAUGUCAUUAAUUUGGUGCGCUGGGGAAGCAGGACUGUUACCUUGAAAAAUUAGAGUGCUUAAAGCAGGCUUAUGCCUGAAUACAUUAGCAUGGAAUAAUGAAAUAGGACGGCAUGGUUCUAUUUUGUUGGUUUCUAGGAUCACCGUAAUGAUUAAUAGGGAUAGUUGGGGGCAUUAGUAUUCAAUUGUCAGAGGUGAAAUUCUUGGAUUUAUUGAAGACUAACUUCUGCGAAAGCAUUUGCCAAGGAUGUUUUCAUUAAUCAAGAACGAAAGUUAGGGGAUCGAAGACGAUCAGAUACCGUCGUA